UACGUAGGUGACAAGCGUUGUCCGGAUUACUGGGCGUAAAGAGCGCGCAGGCGGUCGUUCAAGUCGAGUGUGAAAGCCCCCGGCUCAACUGGGGAGGGUCACUCGAUACUGAUCGACUCGAAGGCAGGAGAGGGAAGUGGAAUUCCCGGUGUAGUGGUGAAAUGCGUAGAUAUCGGGAGGAACACCAGUGGCGAAGGCGACUUCCUGGCCUGUUCUUGACGCUGAGGCGCGAAAGCUAGGGGAGCAAACGGG
rnacentral:rRNA from 1 species